rnacentral:rRNA from 1 species
UACGUAGGGUCCGAGCGUUGUCCGGAAUUAUUGGGCGUAAAGGGCGCGUAGGCGGUGUCUUAAGUGGGAUGUGCAAUCCCCGGGCUUAACCUGGGAACUGCAUCCCAGACUGGGACGCUGGAGUACUGGAGAGGGUGGUGGAAUUCCACGUGUAGCGGUGAAAUGCGUAGAGAUGUGGAGGAACACCAGUGGCGAAGGCGGCCACCUGGGCAGUAACUGACGCUGAGGCGCGAAAGCCAGGGGAGCAAACGGG